rnacentral:rRNA from 1 species
GAUGAAUGCUGGCGGCGUGCCUAACACAUGCAAGUCGAGCGGUAACGGGCCUUCGGGUGCCGACGAGCGGCGGACGGCUGAGUAACGCGAGGGAACAUACCCCAAAGUGAGGGAUAACCGCCCGAAAGGGUGGCUAAUACCGCAUAUGGUCUUCGGAUUAAAGGAUUUAUCCGCUUUGGGAAUGGCCUGCGUACGAUUAGAUAGUUGGUGAGGUAAUGGCUCACCAAGUCGACGAUCGUUAACUGGUUUGAGAGGAUGAUCAGUCAGACUGGAACUGAGACACGGUCCAGACUCCUACGGGAGGCAGCAGUGAGGAAUCUUCCACAAUGGGCGAAAGCCUGAUGGAGCAACGCCGCGUGCAGGAUGAAGGCCUUCGGGUUGUAAACUGCUUUUAUAAGUGAAGAAUAUGACGGUAACUUAUGAAUAAGCACCGGCUAACUACGUGCCAGCCGCCGCCGUA